rnacentral:lncRNA from 1 species
GACAGAGAAAUGAAAAGAAGGGACUAAUAGGGAAUAAGACGUGUGAUCCAUGGCCCGAUGGCCCUGAUGGACGUGAAGAUCCACUGUUGUGGAAGGAGUGGAACACUAACACUGAAUGAUGGAGGCUGUGGUCAGAAACAGAUUUGUCUGAAUUUCAGUUGAUCCAGAGCAAGAAAAAUAGCUGAAUAUAACUGGCCAGUGCAGAAGAGCCUAUGAAGGUGGAAAAUGGAGGAAGGAGGACCCCAUGCUGGAGAAGUGAUGGAGAUUUGAAGUCUUGGAAGAUGGUGGCAAGGGAGAUGCCAGAGAUGAGACAAAACCUAAUACUCUGUUAAACAUCUGUAAUCUAACAAUCUUCUAUGGGAGUUUAUUAUAUUUCCAUAUCCCAUGUUCACUUCUAGUGAAAAAUAAAAAUAAAAUCUUAAGCCCCCCACAGCUGACUAAAUGGAUCCCAUUGUGAAAGGAAAAUAUCUUGAGCCUCCAAAAUCACUAAGGAAAAUUCAAGCUGGAAACUUCUUAGGACAAACCUGCCUCCCAUUCUCUUCAAAGUUAUUCCUCUGCUCGAGGAGCUAGAUGCAUAUCUGAUUGCCGCCUUUGGAAAGGCUAACCAGAAACUCAAAAG